GACAGAGGUGCCGAGCGUUAGGCGGAAUCACUGGGCUUAAAGCGUGUGUAGGCGGACUUCUAAGUACCUUGUGAAAUCCCACGGCUCAACCGUGGAACUGCUCGGUAUACUGGUUGUCUUGAGCCACUUAGGGGCAGUCGGAACAGACGGUGGAGCGGUGAAAUGCGUAGAUAUUGGGAGGAAUACCGGUGGCGAAGGCGGCUCCCUGGACCGGUACUGACGCUGAGGCGCGAAAGCGUGGGUAGCAAACAGG
rnacentral:rRNA from 1 species